GAAGCUGCCAGCAUGAUCUAG
rnacentral:miRNA from 1 species